rnacentral:rRNA from 1 species
GAUGAACGCUGGCGGCGUGCCUAAUACAUGCAAGUCGAACGAACGCAGGACAACGGGUCUUGUCGGAUGUUAACGGGGGGAGUAUUACUACGACAUGUAUAACCUACCUGUAGGAAUGGGAGCACUUCCUGUAAUAAUACCUAAUGCCGGAUGAUGUUGUGAACCGCAGGGUUCAAAAGUGAGAUUGGGUCUUGGUGUCUCGUAUAGAUGGAUCCGUGUUGGAUUAUCGAGUUGGUAAGGUAACGGCUUACCAAGGCAACGAUGCAUAGCCGACCUGAGAGGGUGAUCGGCCACACUGGAACUGAGACACGGUCCAGACUCCUACGGGAGGCAGCAGUAGGGAAUCUUCCGCAAUGGGCGAAAGCCUGACGGAGCAACGCCGCGUGAGUGAUGAAGGUCUUCGGAUCGCAAACCUCUGUUAUCAGGGAAGAACAUAUGUGUAAUUAACUGUGCAGAUCUUGACGGUACCUAAAGAGAAAGCCACGGCUAACUACGUG